AUAGCAUCUGGAUCGUGAAUCUACCGAGUAUUUUCACCCGCACGGUGGAAGAUCUUCCUUUCGUCGU
rnacentral:pre_miRNA from 1 species